GACGAACGCUGGCGGCGUGCCUAAUACAUGCAAGUCGAACGAGAGCGACCGGUGCUUGCACUGGUCAAUCUAGUGGCGAACGGGUGAGUAACACGUGGGUAACCUGCCCAUCAGAGGGGGAUAACAUCCGGAAACGGAUGCUAAAACCGCAUACGCCUUCGAACCGCAUGGUUUGAAGAGGAAAAGAGGCGCAAGCUUCUGCUGAUGGAUGGACCCGCGGUGCAUUAGCUAGUUGGUGAGGUAACGGCUCACCAAGGCCGUGAUGCAUAGCCGACCUGAGAGGGUGAUCGGCCACAUUGGGACUGAGACACGGCCCAAACUCCUACGGGAGGCAGCAGUAGGGAAUCUUCCGCAAUGGACGCAAGUCUGACGGAGCAACGCCGCGUGAGUGAAGAAGGUUUUCGGAUCGUAAAACUCUGUUGUUAGAGAAGAACAAGUGCUAGAGUAACUGUUAGCGCCUUGACGGUAUCUAACCAGAAAGCCACGGCUAACUACGUG
rnacentral:rRNA from 1 species